rnacentral:rRNA from 1 species
CCUACGGGAGGCAGCAGUAGGGAAUAUUGCUCAAUGGGGGAAACCCUGAAGCAGCAACGCCGCGUGGAGGAUGAAGGUUUUCGGAUUGUAAACUCCUUUUGUUAGAGAAGAUAAUGACGGUAUCUAACGAAUACUCACCGGCUAACUCCGUGCCAGCAGCCGCGGUCAUACGGAGGGUGCAAGCGUUACUCGGAAUCACUGGGCGUAAAGAGCGCGUAGGCGGGAUAGCAAGUCAGAGGUGAAAUCCUAUGGAUUAACCAUAGAACUGCAUUUGAAACUGUUAUUCUAGAGUGGGGGAGAGGGAGGUGAAAGUCGUGGGGGAGGGGGAAAAGCCGGAAAGACAAAGAGGAAUACGCA